GGGAAUGUGACUCAGUGGUUGAGUCCUUGCCUAACACGCAGGAAGCCCUGGGUUCGACUCUUUAGUCCCA
rnacentral:tRNA from 1 species